ACCGAGCUGCCUCCGGGGAAGCUGACUCACCUUGGCCAGGGCAGGGCUGGCCUCCUGCCCAUCUUGAGCCUGGGCCAGGAGCUCUCUUAAAUUUGCGUGCACUUUGCAAGCCUCCAAACCUGAGUCCUCAUUGAGCUCUCCAUACCCAUCUCACUUCGCUGCUCCUUGCUGUCAGCUGCCAAGUUCCCUCGAAUGGCGAGCCAGAGCGGACGUGCUUCUGACCGCCCCCGUUCCAGGCCACUGCGUUUCUCAUGUUCAUCUAAUCUACAAGCUUGGCCUCGUCCCGGAGAGCCAGAGAGGCAAGGUUUUCUCCACCAGAGGAGAAGCACUGCCUUCCAGAGGGCCCCAGCCUCCUCUCCUGUUCCAGGAGACAUUUUUCCCCCAGGGGAGACCACAGGAGGGGAGUUCUGUUGCUCUUCAACCUAAAGAAAGGAAGGAGGACGUCAAGCUGCCCUAUAACGACUCGGGGGACUCACCAUCAUGCAAUCACUGAGGAGGAUAAUGGUGGAGCUGAUGAAGACACAGAGGGAACUAUGUGCACUGAAUAGUACGUGGGAGUCAAAAUGGCACGUACCCCAUAAGUGCAAUUCUGAAAAAAAUGUGCACGUGUGGACCAGGAUUGGAGAAGCAUAGAGGGAAAAACAGGUCGACAGCAGAUUUCAUGGGAAGAGUGGUAUUUUGGACAAUUUUUGUUUCAUUAUUGUUUUGUAUUUUAGUUGAUUAUGAUAAGAAAACAUUUUUCUACUUAUGUUUGUGGAUUCUCAGGGUUUGGUGGGGUAACAACCUUGAUCAAAACAGUAAUGGUACAAAAACUUUGUAAUCAGCUCUCUCAGACCUGUCCUGAGUGGAACAAUCGUUUACCCAACUGAACGCUGACUUAAUUUCCUUUAAGACCCUGUUGUCUACCAAGGUUUGGGACUUAUAAUAAUAAAGAUUUUAGGUGGCUUUUUUCCCAAAUUAUGUUCAGUCUGUUAUCUAAGAGAGGAAAUAAAAGCAGGGGAGUAAGAUAUUUCUCCUAAGCCUUCAUAAUACUAUGAUUUAAAAAUUAUUAUUUUUCAAUAUUUUUGGACACUUCAUACAUUUUCAGAAGAAAGCAAUCAUGAAAAAGCAUAUGUAUUUUGGGAGUUUAUUAGAAACAUCCAUUUCCAUGGUAGUUAUUUUAAACGUUGGACAGAAUCAGCUCCAUCUGCUAAAUCAGAGGUUGGAAAACUAUGACCCUCAGGACAAAUUUGGCUUGCUAUCUGUUUUUAUAAAUAAAGUUUUAUUGAACAUAGCCA